CCUCUGUCUUCCACAUAUUGAUGUACUUGCUUCAUCUGUGUGGUCUCCAAGGCUUCUUGGUGGACUGCACUCUCAGGGGCCUGAGUUCCAUUCAGGCACCCAGCAGUCCCUUUCACAGGCUCCUGCCUCUGUUCAAAUGGCUCACUGAGAUGUUGGUCAGAGCCUAAGCAGAAUUUUCUGGUACUUUGGGGUUCCUUACACUUCCUCUAAAGCUCUCCUCCACCUGUGCAGCUUGUUCACCCUGUGUCUGACCUCCUGACUCUACCUGGGGACCCUGUCUCAUUUCCUGUUCUCGGGAUUCUUUCCACUUGGCAACAAGUCUCUCCCUGGUUGUUCGUGCGUAAGUCAAGCCUCACAGAGAAGGUCCAUUAUCCACAAGUGUCUACAUAUUUCCUGGAACUGCUCUGAUGGGGCCAGGAUCAAAUUUGUUGGCUCCCAAACGAUCCCUGAGCGGAAGAGGGAUGGCUUUAGGGUGGGGCUGAGAGACAAGUCAUAGGCAUUUACCAGAAUGUGAGUGGGUGUGUGUAUUUUUAUAUCUCUGAAAUCAGACAUGCCAGUAUAGUGCCUGGCACAUCGCGGCCCCCAGAGGAAAUACUUCAUGUUACCUGACAAUAUGGUCCCACUGAGUCUUCAUGAAGGAUCGGGACAGGAGCUGUGUCCCAGGGAUAAGACAGCUAACAACCCUGGCUGUCCAGGAACUUGCUUUGAAGACCAGCAUUUUGGUUGGACUGGACAGUCAAUGAUUCCUGCUAUAAAGAGACGACACUUCUCUCAUGAAAAGUCCCCCUCCUGAGUUUAUUACUACAGCAGUGCCAGUAACCUCUGAGAUCAGAAAUAAGUCCAAUGCUCAACACCGUGAGGAUGGCGCCACCAUUCCACAGAACACUGUCCGGGUGUGGGGACGAGGAGACUCUUGAUGAACUAAUCUGGAGCAUCCUCUCAAGCACGCUGGUAGGAGCUAUGUGCUACACUGUGGGAAAGAAGAGGAGCUUUCUUUGCAUGCACAUAUAACGUGUGCACGGAGAACAUAGUAGGUUAGUACGGGGCUCUGGGUUCAACCCUAUCACACUCGCUGGCCCCUAAACCCAUCGUCUACUCUCUCUAGGUGGGGAUUACGUGGCGGGGAGCUGUGCCAGGAAAACUAGUUUCUAUCUCUCUCUUUCCUUUUCCAAGACAGGGU